AUGGCUUUUAAAAAUAACAGAAAAAAUCUCAUAGAACCAAAGGUGGUGAUUCACCAAAUUCUAAUUACACUAACCAGCCACAGGGUAAAAAUCCGUGGAGACUGUGUGUGCUGACUCAACCAGAGGCACAAAGGAAAACAAUCUCAAAGUGAAAGAACCGGUUCAAAUGUCCACCAAGACUUCGAGAAUCCCAAGAAAAACACCUUGUGGUGGCAGUUCUAAGACGUAACACCAUUUCUAGAUGAAAAUCCACAAGCAGCUUACUGACUUGCACAGCCUUUCCAAGACUGUUAAGCAGAUUACUUCCACCAGUAUUGAGCUAGGAGUUGACACUGUAGUCACUAUUGCAGAU
rnacentral:lncRNA from 1 species